UGUAGGGACAUUUAGAGAAUAAAGUUUAUUAAGCAAUAUCGGGAUUAGGACGUUAUCAUAUGCUGUGUUUACAUCUAGAAAAGCUGCUACAACCGAUUGAUUAUCAGAAAAAGCAAGCCGGAUAUCUGUAAUGAGUAUACUGAUACUAUCCAUGGUACUUUUUCCCUUUCUAAAACCAAAUUGACUAUCGGCAAGCAAAUCAUUACAUUCAAGAAACCAUUCGAGUCGAUUUUUAAUUAAGUGUUCAGCUAGUUUUAUUAAUACUGAGGAAAGAACUAUUGGGCGAUACGAAGAUGGGUCUGACGGGGACUUAUUUGGUUUAGGGAUUGGCAACACUUUUUGAAACUUCCAUGACAGAGGGACGUCACUACCUGUCAUCGCAAUUGAAUUGAUGAUUUCCAAAUAAUAUGAGAGUACUUGAUCAUCUAAGUUAUGAAAGAAGGAAUACGGGAUACCAUCUGCACCUGGAGACGAAUCAGAAACGUUUUGUAUGAUUCCCUUAAGUUCAAACAGUGAAAAUGGCCGGUCAAUGGCAGACACAGGGUCUGGGACUGGCGAAGUUAGGUACAGUUUUUGAGGGACCCAUGGUGGAGCUAGUUUGUCAACGAAAGCACCAGCGAUUUCUAGUGGGAUAGAAGGGCGAGAAGACUCUGUCAUGCCAGAUUUAAAUCGGCGAAUGUUUUGCCAUACUAUUGAAGAUGGGGUUUCAGGGGAAAUUGAUAAGCAGAACUUUCUCCAACUCUCGAAUUUUUUCUUUUUAAAAAGUUCACGAGAUUCUUCUGUUACCUUACUUAAUUCUGAAAAAUUUUCAUUGGUCAUAUUAGCUUUAUAUUUACGCUCGGCAGACUUUCUUUUUUUUAUGGCCUCUGUACAAUCACUGUCCCACCAUGGUUGCGGGGGCAGCUUAUGAUUAAGUUUUUUUAAAGGAAAAGCUUUAUUUGCGGAAUCUACUAAUAGAUUGGUAAAGGAUGUAGCGCAAGUGGAUUCAUUACCAGAUGAAACAAUUGGAAGAGAGGGGAGAUUGUUCUCAACACCUUCUUUAAAUGUAUUCCACGCAUUGCUGGUCCUAUCUGGAAGUCUAUGUUUCAGUUGUGGAACAUAUUUAGAAGUUAAAGGACUAUUAAAUGGAAAGGGUUAGAGGACAAUACGUCUGCAUAGGACUUUGAGGCUGGAGGGUGAAUCUUGGAAGCCUCUGCAUAUGAGAUGGAAUUUUCAGCCAUAUAAGACUUAAUUUUUUUCUGACGGAUGAAUUCUGGGCAUGACUUGCUAGUUGCAAAGUGGAAACCGGAGCAAAGACAACAGGAAGCUUGGUCUUCAUAAACAGAGCACGAAUCUCCCAUGUGGGCCUGCCCACACUUAAAACAGCGAGGCUGGGACCUACAUUGGGCCUUUGUAUGACCAAAUCGGCAACAAUUAAAACAUUGUACUGUAGGAAAGAUAUACAAUUCAACUGGUAAAGCAUUGUAGCAAAUAAAUACUCUUUUUGGUAAGGUUUGUCCGUCAAAUGUUACAACAACUGAUUGAGAGGGUUUCCAAGAAACUGAACCAUUAUUAAAAGAUUUAAAAUUCA